rnacentral:lncRNA from 1 species
AUCAUUUAUUUAUUAGAGUUUGUAAUCAGGGCUGUAAACUUUCCCUACAUUUUGUAAACAUCAUGGAAACAUACUGUUUUAAUAAAAACAAUAUCAAACGUUAACAACACAGGGGAAGGGAGGGAGAUCACUUUCCUUUUUUUUUCCUCUCCAUUUCUUGCCCGUUACUCCUCCCCGACAGACAAAAAGAAGAAAAAACCCAGCUAUUAUACUUAAUUAAUAACAGUGGGGUUGUUUCAUUUGGGGAACCUUUACUGAUUGCCCCUUAAAACUAGAGGUCUUUAGAGUUAGUUAACAUCAGGAGACUUCAAAGUACAGGACAAUAAGUUUGCCGAUCAGAUGCUUAGAAAAAAGUCGAGGGGAGAUACAUGAGUCUGCACACUUCCCCAAUAGCUUAUCAGUGUGCUACUGCUGCUGCUGUAGCAUUGCCCCCCAGCAGCAAGGAGAUGCCCUGGCUGCUAUCUAGAACACGAGGUAGGCAACAGCUCUGGGGUGCCCUGUCAGAAAGUGGGGGAAAGAAAGCUUCUGCUAGUCACACGUCCUGAGGAGCGAGAGAGAAAGCAGCCGGCGGCGCGGUGCGGCGCGGCCCUUCCCGCUGCUCUCCUCAGAGACGCGCACUGCGGCGUGCCGCCGGGCGGCUCGGCUGCGUCUGCGGUUUGUGCCGAGGACCCGCGUCCCUGCCGACAGUCGGCCCCAGGCUGCCAGUCGCGCCUCACGGCGGCCGGAGACAGGGAAGCGCCGGCUCCUGGCGGGCGAAUCCCGGUCGGCAGCCGCCGGGAAGAGCCGCAGCCCUGUCCCGCGUGUCCUCCUCUGCUCGUGCCUGAAGCGCCUCCUGCCGCCCCGGGGUGGAAGUGCAGGCGGGGGCUGACGCCCGAGUCCGUGCGUGGGCCGAGCCGCCGCCCGUGUGGCUGUGGCCCGGGGGCACGGCACGGAGAGGAAGCUGCUGCUGCUUCUCCUUUCUGCAGCAAGUCCAGGUCUGGCAAAAGUUCAACACUGCACCAACUUCCAGAGGAGGAGGGAGAGGGGAUGAAGAGAGUCCUGCAUAGAGGAGGAGCUACUCCACCUGGCCACGAACCCAGCUGCUACAAGCAGGAGGCGACUGGAAGAAGGAGGGGGCGACUGGUAUGCCAACCUCUUCUUAAUGGCACAAGCAGUCCUGUUGGCAUGCAGGCAGGGUUACACCUGCGAGCAAGGGUUGGUGAAGCUGGACCUCCUUCUGUAUUGGGAACUGAGGGCCCUCAGCAUCACUUCAGGACAUGUUGCACAGCAUACAGUCAGACCCUCUGUCUGGUAUCGACUUAA